rnacentral:rRNA from 1 species
CAGUGGGGAAUAUUGCACAAUGGAGGAAACUCUGAUGCAGCGACGCCGCGUGAGUGAAGAAGUAUUUCGGUAUGUAAAGCUCUUUCGGCAGGGAAGAUAAUGACGGUACCUGCAGAAGAAGCACCGGCUAAAUACGUGCCAG